CUUGGUUCAGGAUGAACGCUAGCGACAAGGCCUAACACAUGCAAGUCGAGGGGCAGCACAAGGAGCAAUCUGAGGUGGCGACCGGCGCACGGGUGAGUAACACGUAUGCAACCUGCCUGUAAGCGGGGAAUAACCCGUUGAAAGACGGACUAAUACCGCAUAAUACUAAAUUACUGCAUGGUAAUUUAUUUAAACAUUUAUGGCUUACAGAUGGGCAUGCGCAUGAUUAGCUAGUUGGAGAGGUAACGGCUCCCCAAGGCAACGAUCAUUAGGGGUUCUGAGAGGAAGGUCCCCCACACUGGUACUGAGACACGGACCAGACUCCUACGGGAGGCAGCAGUGAGGAAUAUUGGUCAAUGGACGAGAGUCUGAACCAGCCAAGUCGCGUGCAGGAAGAAUGUCCCUAUGGAUUGUAAACUGCUUUUGCAGGGGAAUAAAGUGCAUCACGUGUGAUGUUUUGUAUGUACUCUGCGAAUAAGGAUCGGCUAACUCCGUGCCAGCCGCGGC
rnacentral:rRNA from 1 species